AUGUCUAUUGUGCCCGGCAAAAACAGAUUUGCAAGGAGUUUGCCAAAGGCUUUCUCAUUCAAAAAAACAAUUUCAAGUAUAUUUCCCUUCUCCAUUCUCUGCUCGGAUGGUUGCCGCUUGUGUGAAUUUCAUUGCUGUGGGUCCCGUGUGUGCUUGAAUAAGAUUGUUUUAGGAUUCUAUUUAGUUGAAUUUCUUGACUCCGCGGUGCUGGUUAUCGAGUUUAUGGCGCCGCCGACCAUCAAAAAGUCAAAGAUGGCACCGGCAUUUACUUAUUAUGCUCUCUUCUAA
rnacentral:rRNA from 1 species